AUCGCUUCUCGGCCUUUUGGCUAAGAUCAAGUGUAGUAUCUG
rnacentral:snRNA from 1 species